rnacentral:rRNA from 1 species
GAUGAACGCUGGCGGCGUGCCUAAUACAUGCAAGUCGAGCGAACAGACGAGGAGCUUGCUUCUCUGACGUUAGCGGCGGACGUGUGAGUAACACGUGGAUAACCUACCUAUAAGACUGGGAUAACUUCGGGAAACCGUAGCUAAUACCGGAUAACAUGUUGAACCGCAUGGUUCAACAGUGAAAGACGGUCUUGCUGUCACUUAUAGAGGGAUCCGCGCCGCAUUAGCUAGUUGGUAAGGUAACGGCUUACCAAGGCAACGAUGCGUAGCCGACCUGAGAGGGUGAUCGGCCACACUGGAACUGGAACACGGUCCAGACUCCUACGGGAGGCAGCAGUAGGGAAUCUUCGGCAAUGGGCGAAAGCCUGACGGAGCAACGCCGAGUGAGUGAAGAAGGUCUUCGGAUCGUAAAACUCUGUUAUUAGGGAAGAACACAUGUGUAAGUAAAUAUGCACGUCUUGACGGUACCUAAUCAGAAAGCCACGGCUAACUACGUG